GGAGAAAUCGGCGCACUGGGCUUGUACUGACGCUGAGAUGCGAAAGCGUGGGGAGCGAACAGGAUUAGAUACCCUGGUAGUCCACGCCGUAAACGAUGGUAUACUAGGUCGUGGUAGAUCUGACUCUAUCGCGGCCGUAGCAAAAGUAUUAAGUAUACCGCCUGGGGAGUACGGUCGCAAGGCUAAAACUCAAAGGAAUUGAUGGGGGCUCACACAAGCGGUGGAGCAUGUGGCUUAAUUCGAAGCAACGCGAAGAACCUUAUCCUGGGUUUGACAUGUACGGAUGCCCUUCCUGAAAGGGAAGUAAGCUGCCUUCGGGUGAAACGUACACAGGUGCUGCAUGGCUGUCGUCAGCUCGUGUCGUGAGAUGUCGGGUUAAGUCCCUUAACGAGCGAAACCCUUAUCGCUAGUGCCANGCGGGUCAUGCCGGGGACUCUAGUGAGACUGCCGGUGUUAAACCGGAGGAAGGCGGGGAUGACGUCAAGUCCUCAUGGCCUUUAUGCCCAGGNCUGCACACGUGCUACAAUGGUCCGGACAAACCGACGCAAAACCGUGAGNUCGAGCANAUCGGAUAANCCGGCCCUCAGUUCGGAUGCAGGGCUGCAACUCGCCUGCAUGAAGUCGGAUCGCUAGUAAAUCGCAGAUCAGCUAUGCUG
rnacentral:rRNA from 1 species